AAAUUGAAGAGUUUGAUCAUGGCUCAGAUUGAACGCUGGCGGCAGGCCUAACACAUGCAAGUCGAACGGUAACAGGAAACAGCUUGCUGUUUCGCUGACGAGUGGCGGACGGGUGAGUAAUGUCUGGGAAACUGCCUGAUGGAGGGGGAUAACUACUGGAAACGGUAGCUAAUACCGCAUAACGUCGCAAGACCAAAGAGGGGGACCUUCGGGCCUCUUGCCAUCAGAUGUGCCCAGAUGGGAUUAGCUAGUAGGUGGGGUAACGGCUCACCUAGGCGACGAUCCCUAGCUGGUCUGAGAGGAUGACCAGCCACACUGGAACUGAGACACGGUCCAGACUCCUACGGGAGGCAGCAGUGGGGAAUAUUGCACAAUGGGCGCAAGCCUGAUGCAGCCAUGCCGCGUGUAUGAAGAAGGCCUUCGGGUUGUAAAGUACUUUCAGCGGGGAGGAAGGGAGUAAAGUUAAUACCUUUGCUCAUUGACGUUACCCGCAGAAGAAGCACCGGCUAACUCCGUGCCAGCAGCCGCGGUAAUACGGAGGGUGCAAGCGUUAAUCGGAAUUACUGGGCGUAAAGCGCACGCAGGCGGUUUGUUAAGUCAGAUGUGAAAUCCCCGGGCUCAACCUGGGAACUGCAUCUGAUACUGGCAAGCUUGAGUCUCGUAGAGGGGGGGAGAAUUCCAGGUGUAGCGGUGAAAUGCGUAGAGAUCUGGAGGAAUACCGGUGGCGAAGGCGGCCCCCCUGGACGAAGACUGACGCUCAGGUGCGAAAGCGUGGGGAGCAAACAGGAUUAGAUACCCUGGUAGUCCACGCCGUAAACGAUGUCGACUUGGAGGUUGUGCCCUUGAGGCGUGGCUUCCGGAGCUAACGCGUUAAGUCGACCGCCUGGGGAGUACGGCCGCAAGGUUAAAACUCAAAUGAAUUGACGGGGGCCCGCACAAGCGGUGGAGCAUGUGGUUUAAUUCGAUGCAACGCGAAGAACCUUACCUGGUCUUGACAUCCACGGAAGUUUUCAGAGAUGAGAAUGUGCCUUCGGGAACCGUGAGACAGGUGCUGCAUGGCUGUCGUCAGCUCGUGUUGUGAAAUGUUGGGUUAAGUCCCGCAACGAGCGCAACCCUUAUCCUUUGUUGCCAGCGGUCCGGCCGGGAACUCAAAGGAGACUGCCAGUGAUAAACUGGAGGAAGGUGGGGAUGACGUCAAGUCAUCAUGGCCCUUACGACCAGGGCUACACACGUGCUACAAUGGCGCAUACAAAGAGAAGCGACCUCGCGAGAGCAAGCGGACCUCAUAAAGUGCGUCGUAGUCCGGAUUGGAGUCUGCAACUCGACUCCAUGAAGUCGGAAUCGCUAGUAAUCGUGGAUCAGAAUGCCACGGUGAAUACGUUCCCGGGCCUUGUACACACCGCCCGUCACACCAUGGGAGUGGGUUGCAAAAGAAGUAGGUAGCUUAACCUUCGGGAGGGCGCUUACCACUUUGUGAUUCAUGACUGGGGUGAAGUCGUAACAAGGUAACCGUAGGGGAACCUGCGGUUGGAUCACCUCCUUA
rnacentral:rRNA from 1 species